rnacentral:rRNA from 1 species
AUUGAACGCUGGCGGCAGGCUUAACACAUGCAAGUCGAGCGGGGUGAUGGUGCUUGCACUAUCACUUAGCGGCGGACGGGUGAGUAAUGCUUAGGAAUCUGCCUAUUAGUGGGGGACAACAUCUCGAAAGGGACGCUAAUACCGCAUACGUCCUACGGGAGAAAGCAGGGGAUCACUUGUGACCUUGCGCUAAUAGAUGAGCCUAAGUCGGAUUAGCUAGUUGGUGGGGUAAAGGCCUACCAAGGCGACGAUCUGUAGCGGGUCUGAGAGGAUGAUCCGCCACACUGGGACUGAGACACGGCCCAGACUCCUACGGGAGGCAGCAGUGGGGAAUAUUGGACAAUGGGGGAACCCUGAUCCAACCAUGCCGCGUGUGUGAAGAAGGCCUUAUGGUUGUAAAGCACUUUAAGCGAGGAGGAGGCUCUUUUGGUUAAUACCCAAGAUGAGUGGACGUUACUCGCAGAAUAAGCACCGGCUAACUCUGUGCCAGCCGCCGCAGUAA